rnacentral:rRNA from 1 species
GCAGAGAGAGUUAUACAGAACGUGAACCACUAGGGACGAAGCGGAUGGAGUUGACGACAUUAACAGUAUUCAGGUGUGUGUGGUCGCCUGGCGGCGUUUGUUCUGCGAUGGCCUAGUCGUGGCGGCGUUGUCUAGUGUGGCUGUGCGCUCUGCAUUUGCUGUUGGUAUGUGCCGAAAGGCCUGUUUGCCUCUUCCGAACCACCACGUGUUGCCCUUCGCCUCGGCGUCGGUGUCUUGCGUGGUGGGGCUGUUGAUGGUGGAUAGGUUGCGCUAUUUGGUGACUGGCUUUCGUGCGUUGUGCGUUGCGGUGUGCGUUGUGUGCGAGCGGUGGCGUGCCACUUGUUCGUAAUGUCGGCGUAUAUCGUAUGCGUGCUGCGCCUCAGUUGCUCUUUCGGUAUGAAAAGUCAGCCACCCAUCCGACCCGUCUUGAAACACGGACCAAGAAGUCUAGCAUGUGCGCGAGUCAUUGGGUGUGAAAACCUAAAGGCGUAAUGAAAGUGAAGGUCGUCUUCGUACGGCUGAUAUGGGAGUCGUGUUCGUGCGCGUUCGCGAUGCACCAUAGCCCCAUCUCGUGAGCUUGCUCUGGGGUGGAGGUAGAGCGUACAUGCUGGGACCCGAAAGAUGGUGAACUAUGCCUGAGCAGGAUGAAGUCAGAGGAAACUCUGAUGGAAGUCCGAAGCGGUUCUGACGUGCAAAUCGAUCGUCUGACUUGGGUAUAGGGGCGAAAGACUAAUCGAACCAUC